UUCCUGGUGGUUCAGAUGGUAAAAAAUCUGCCUGCAAUGCAGGAGACUUGGGUUCGAUCCCUGGUCUGGGAA
rfam:Ovis aries breed Texel chromosome 5, whole genome shotgun sequence.